AUUCCAGCUCCAAUAGCGUAUAUUAAAGUUGUUGUGGUUAAAAAGCUCGUAGUUGGAUCUCAACAGCCUUGAAGCGGUUAACUUUGUAGUUUUACUGCUUUAUAGGCUGUGUUUUUGCUGGAGGUUUAGGGGUGCUCUUGAUCGAGUGUCUCUGGAUGCCAGCAGGUUUACUUUGAAAAAAUUAGAGUGCUCAAAGCAGGCUAAAAUGCCUGAAUAUUCGUGCAUGGAAUAAUAGAAUAGGAUGUCGAUCCUAUUUUGUUGGUUUUCGGGACUCGACAUAAUGAUAAAUAGGGACAGUCGGGGGCAUUUGUAUUCAAACGACAGAGGUGAAAUUCUUGGACCGUUUGAAGACAAACUACUGCGAAAGCAUUUGCCAAGAAUGUUUUCAUUG
rnacentral:rRNA from 1 species